GAUGAAGAACGUAGCGAAAUGCGAUAAGUAAUGUGAAUUGCAGAAUUCAGUGAAUCAUCGAAUCUUUGAACGCACAUUGCGCCCCUUGGUAUUCCGAGGGGCAUGCCUGUUCGAGCGUCAUUAUAACCCCUCAAGCUCAGCUUGGUGUUGGGGCCUGCCGCACGGGCAGCCCUUAAAAUCAGUGGCGGUGCCAUCUGGCUCUAAGCGUAGUAAUUCUUCUCGCUAUAGAGUCCCGAUGGAUGCUUGCCAUUAACCCCCAAUUUUCUAUGGUUGACCUCGGAUCAGGUAGGGAUACCCGCUGAACUUAAGCAUAUCAAUAAGCGGAGGA
rnacentral:misc_RNA from 1 species